AUGCUCUUGUCCAUCCCAGGAGCCAUGACCUUUGUCUGCAGGAUGAUGUUAUUUUUAGAGCUGCUUAAAAGAUGGCCUGCCUGCUGCAGAAGCAAGACAACGCAGAGGAAAGGAAUGGAUAUGGUGCACUAUGGAUGCGGAUCAAAGAAGCAUCUAGCAAGAUUGUCCUGUUACAGAGAGAAACCAGCUGGACCUUCCUCUGCGGUGGUUCACCAUAAUGGAAGUUCGGAUCAUGACCUUCUACUUCGAGAGAACAAAGUCAGGGGAGGAGUAAGAUCAUCUCCUACAGCAAGGUAAAGUUCUCUCUCUACAUAUAUUUUCACUUUCUUGGAGUUAAAUGUCAGCUAUGCACGCUUUAUCAUUAUCCAAGCCAAGGAGAGCUCAAAUCUGUAAAUCUAGCCUCAGUUCUAAUUGUGUGCCUUGCUUAUGGCAGCAGAUGCAUGUCAUCUGUAAAUAUAUAUCCUGCUUUACUCCUACAGAGAGACGUCGAAGGUUUUCCUACAGUCUACAUCAGUAGCAAUCAGCUUCUAUUAAUGUGGGAGUGAGGUUUGUGACUUGGCCAUUGAAAAAGCUCAGAAGUCUUCCAGAUGCAGGAAUCAGCUUUGGAAAUCUACUGAGCUGUUUCUUAAGUAUGUCUCUUUUGCUUUUUUUUUGGGGGGGGGGGGAACUGCAAGACAUAGGCUUUGUGCAUGUAGACUAUGAAUGUGAUAGCCCUGGGAUUUCUCCCAUUGUAAAUUACACCUUCUUCCCUAAUUCCAUGGCAUUUCCCUUAUCCAAGAGCUGUUUCUUAAAAAUACUAUCAUUCUCAUGAGUUUUACCCAUGCCCCCCAACUUGUACCUGUUAUUGGCUUCUGCAAAGUCUAAGAGAUUUCUCUAAUGUCCAUUUCCAUCAUGUAUUUUCAAAAAACUGAAUGUGACUUCCAG
rnacentral:lncRNA from 1 species